rnacentral:lncRNA from 1 species
CUGGAGAGCACUUUCCACUUUCAUUUCAUCUGGAACAAAUCUGGCUUCCCAAAACAGAUCCAUGAUGGGAUACAAAGCACAGGCAAUCACCCCCAGCUCAUGACUCUUCCAAAGAACUCAGGUCCUGCUUGCAAUGGGGUCCUGGCUGCAAAUCUACUCCAUGUCAAAUCAUCUGUUUCCUCCAAGCCACCAUAAUUGCAUGAAUGGCUAGUGUCCUAUCUCUCCUCAUAAUGCGGGCAGGAGAAUGAAGGAGAAUAAAUGGGACAGUGUCUCAAACUGAAAACCUCUCCCAUA